rnacentral:rRNA from 1 species
CCCUUAGAUGUUCUGGGCUGCACGCGCGCUACACUGAUGCGCUCAACGAGUUUUAACCUUGCCUGGAAAGGUUGGGUAAUCUUUUUAAAACGCAUCGUGAUGGGGAUAGAUUAUUGCAAUUAUUAAUCUUCAACGAGGAAUUCCUAGUAAGCGCGAGUCAUCAGCUCGUGCUGAUUACGUCCCUGCCCUUUGUACACACCGCCCGUCGCUCCUACCGAUUGAGUGGUUUAGUGAGGACUCCUGAUUGGCGCCGCCGCCCCGGCAACGGAGCAGCGGACUGCCGAAAAGUUGUUCAAACUUGAUCAUUUAGAGGAAGUAAAAGUCGUAACA